rnacentral:rRNA from 1 species
UCCUACGGGAGGCAGCAGUGGGGAAUAUUGCACAAUGGGCGGAAGCCUGAUGCAGCGACGCCGCGUGAGGGAUGACGGCCUUCGGGUUGUAAACCUCUUUCGCCAGGGACGAAGCGUAAGUGACGGUACCUGGAGAAGAAGCACCGGCUAACUACGUGCCAGCAGCCGCGGUAAUACGUAGGGUGCGAGCGUUGUCCGGAAUUAUUGGGCGUAAAGAGCUCGUAGGCGGUGUGUCACGUCGGCCGUGAAAACCUCAGGCUUAACUUGGGGCUUGCGGUCGAUACGGGCAUCACUUGAGUUCGGUAGGGGAGACUGGAAUUCCUGGUGUAGCGGUGGAAUGCGCAGAUAUCAGGAGGAACACCGGUGGCGAAGGCGGGUCUCUGGGCCGAUACUGACGCUGAGGAGCGAAAGCGUGGGGAGCGAACAGGAUUAGAUACCCUGGUAGUCCACGCUGUAAACGUUGGGCGCUAGGUGUGGGGUGGGUCCACGUAUCCCGUGCCGU